UACGAAGGGGGCUAGCGUUGCUCGGAAUCACUGGGCGUAAAGGGUGCGUAGGCGGGUUUUUAAGUCAGAGGUGAAAUCCUGGAGCUCAACUCCAGAACUGCCUUUGAUACUGGAAGUCUUGAGUAUGGGAGAGGUGAGUGGAACUGCGAGUGUAGAGGUGAAAUUCGUAGAUAUUCGCAAGAACACCAGUGGCGAAGGCGGCUCACUGGCCCGAUACUGACGCUGAGGCACGAAAGCGUGGGGAGCAAACAGGG
rnacentral:rRNA from 1 species